rnacentral:rRNA from 1 species
GAAACCGUGUGCUUACAAGUAGUCAGAGCCCGUUAAUGGGUGAUGGCGUGCCUUUUGUAGAAUGAACCGGCGAGUUACGAUUUGAUGCAAGGUUAAGCAGUAAAUGUGGAGCCGUAGCGAAAGCGAGUCUGAAUAGGGCGUUUAGUAUUUGGUCGUAGACCCGAAACCAGGUGAUCUACCCUUGGUCAGGUUGAAGUUCAGGUAACACUGAAUGGAGGACCGAACCGACUUACGUUGAAAAGUGAGCGGAUGAACUGAGGGUAGCGGAGAAAUUCCAAUCGAACCUGGAGAUAGCUGGUUCUCUCCGAAAUAGCUUUAGGGCUAGCCUCAAGUGAUGAUUAUUGGAGGUAGAGCACUGUUUGGACGAGGGGCCCCUCUCGGGUUACCGAAUUCAGACAAACUCCGAAUGCCAAUUAAUUUAACUUGGGAGUCAGAACAUGGGUGAUAAGGUCCGUGUUCGAAAGGGAAACAGCCCAGACCACCAGCUAAGGUCCCAAAAUAUAUGUUAAGUGGAAAAGGAUGUGGCGUUGCCCAGACAACUAGGAUGUUGGCUUAGAAGCAGCCAUCAUUUAAAGAGUGCGUAAUAGCUCACUAGUCGAGUGACACUGCGCCGAAAAUGUACCGGGGCUAAACAUAUUACCGAAGCUGUGGAUUGUCCUUUGGACAAUGGUAGGAGAGCGUUCUAAGGGCGUUGAAGCAUGAUCGUAAGGACAUGUGGAGCGCUUAGAAGUGAGAAUGCCGGUGUGAGUAGCGAAAGACGGGUGAGAAUCCCGUCCACCGAUUGACUAAGGUUUCCAGAGGAAGGCUCGUCCGCUCUGGGUUAGUCGGGUCCUAAGCUGAGGCCGACAGGCGUAGGCGAUGGAUAACAGGUUGAUAUUCCUGUACCACCUAUAAUCGUUUUAAUCGAUGGGGGGACGCAGUAGGAUAGGCGAAGCGUGCGAUUGGAUUGCACGUCUAAGCAGUAAGGCUGAGUAUUAGGCAAAUCCGGUACUCAUUAAGGCUGAGCUGUGAUGGGGAGAAGACAUUGUGUCUUCGAGUCGUUGAUUUCACACUGCCGAGAAAAGCCUCUAGAUAGAAAAUAGGUGCCCGUACCGCAAACCGACACAGGUAGUCAAGAUGAGAAUUCUAAGGUGAGCGAGCGAACUCUCGUUAAGGAACUCGGCAAAAUGACCCCGUAACUUCGGGAGAAGGGGUGCUCUUUAGGGUUAACGCCCAGAAGAGCCGCAGUGAAUAGGCCCAAGCGACUGUUUAUCAAAAACACAGGUCUCUGCUAAACCGUAAGGUGAUGUAUAGGGGCUGACGCCUGCCCGGUGCUGGAAGGUUAAGAGGAGUGGUUAGCUUCUGCGAAGCUACGAAUCGAAGCCCCAGUAAACGGCGGCCGUAACUAUAACGGUCCUAAGGUAGCGAAAUUCCUUGUCGGGUAAGUUCCGACCCGCACGAAAGGCGUAACGAUUUGGGCACUGUCUCAACGAGAGACUCGGUGAAAUCAUAGUACCUGUGAAGAUGCAGGUUACCCGCGACAGGACGGAAAGACCCCGUGGAGCUUUACUGUAGCCUGAUAUUGAAAUUCGGCACAGCUUGUACAGGAUAGGUAGGAGCCUUUGAAACGUGAGCGCUAGCUUACGUGGAGGCGCUGGUGGGAUACUACCCUAGCUGUGUUGGCUUUCUAACCCGCACCACUUAUCGUGGUGGGAGACAGUGUCAGGCGGGCAGUUUGACUGGGGCGGUCGCCUCCUAAAAGGUAACGGAGGCGCUCAAAGGUUCCCUCAGAAUGGUUGGAAAUCAUUCAUAGAGUGUAAAGGCAUAAGGGAGCUUGACUGCGAGACCUACAAGUCGAGCAGGGUCGAAAGACGGACUUAGUGAUCCGGUGGUUCCGCAUGGAAGGGCCAUCGCUCAACGGAUAAAAGCUACCCCGGGGAUAACAGGCUUAUCUCCCCCAAGAGUUCACAUCGACGGGGAGGUUUGGCACCUCGAUGUCGGCUCAUCGCAUCCUGGGGCUGUAGUCGGUCCCAAGGGUUGGGCUGUUCGCCCAUUAAAGCGGUACGCGAGCUGGGUUCAGAACGUCGUGAGACAGUUCGGUCCCUAUCCGUCGUGGGCGUAGGAAAUUUGAGAGGAGCUGUCCUUAGUACGAGAGGACCGGGAUGGACAUACCUCUGGUGUACCAGUUGUCGUGCCAACGGCAUAGCUGGGUAGCUAUGUGUGGACGGGAUAAGUGCUGAAAGCAUCUAAGCAUGAAGCCCCCCUCAAGAUGAGAUUUCCCAACUUCGGUUAUAAGAUCCCUCAAAGAUGAUGAGGUUAAUAGGUUCGAGGUGGAAGCAUGGUGACAUGUGGAGCUGACGAAUACUAA